rnacentral:rRNA from 1 species
UACGAAGGGUGCAAACGUUGCUCGGAAUUACUGGGCGUAAAGUGUGCGCAGGCGGCAAAGCAAGUCGAGUGUGAAAGCCCCGGGCUUAACUUGGGAACUGCAUUUGUGACUGCAUCGCUGGAGUGCGGCAGAGGGGGAUGGAAUUCCGCGUGUAGCAGUGAAAUGCGUAGAUAUGCGGAGGAACACCGAUGGCGAAGGCAAUCCCCUGGGCCUGCACUGACGCUCAUGCACGAAAGCGUGGGGAGCAAACAGG